AUGGCGGGGGAGCUCGAGGGGAGGAGCUCCGGACCCAGAGGAGCCGAGCAGGCCAUUGUUGCUCUCAAGAAAGGUGCCCAUCUACUCAAGUGCGGGAAGAGAGGGAAGCCCAGGUUCUGCCCGUUCAGGCUAUCAUGUGAUGAAAAACUGCUAAUAUGGUACUCCAAAGAGAGGGAAAAAAGUCUGAGCUUGAGUUCUGUGUCGAGUGUGGUUCUCGGACAGAAAACGGAAAACCUUUUGCGCUUGCAUUGGCCAGAAAAGGAACAUCACUCCUUGUCAGUCAUAUACAAGAAUGGCGAAUGCUCACUGGACUUGAUAUGCAAAGACAAGGACCAAGCUGACUGCUGGUAUCUAGGCCUAACAGCCUUGGUAUCUGCUCUAUAUAGUCCUCUUCUUUUGGUUGAUUCAACAAGCAGCCGGAUAAACAGUUGCGCAAAUAGCCCUCCUAGCUAUAUUCAGCAAAGGAAUAGGCUAUUUUCAGUGCAUGACACAAGAAAGUUCACCCAGGUACACUCACUGUAUGGCAGUCCUAGGUUGAUACAGAACAAAGUAUCGAAGAGCAGUCUGGAUUGCUCAGAAGCAUUCGUCACUCCAAGGCAGAGAACAUGGUCAGACCUAGAUUUCUACUUGGAAAGAAUUACUCCUGAAAUGGUAAAUAGAGUUAAAAACAGUUUCAUGGAUAUACCAGUGGCUGCAAAAAUUCAGGAGGGAAUUACCCAAAUGCCUAAACUGAAAGCUUCUGAAGGAUCACACAUGGCAUGUGGAAUAGAUUCUCUGAAGGACAUCUUUGCCUGGGGAGAAGUUCCAGGCAGUGUGUUGGAGAAUGGAGAUGCACCAAAAGAUAAUGUUUCACUUCCAAGGUUAUUGAAGCCAACCCAGAUUCUUGACGUGCAGAACGUUGCCUGUGGAGAGAAACAUGCAGCAAUAGUUACUAAGCAAGGGGAGGUCUUCUCUUGGGGAAAGGAGAGUGGUGGGAUAUUGGGACACAAAGUGAGUGUCAGUGUCUCCGAACCUACGAUUAUCGAAUCUCUUACCUCUAUCCAUAUGAAGGCUAUUGCAUUAGGGGCAAAGCACACCUGUGCACUUGCAAUUUCAGGAGAACUUUAUGAGUGGGGUGAAGGGACUCACAGCUUGGGUCUGUGGGAUGAUCAGUGUCAAAGAAGCCAAUGGUUCCCACACAAACUGUUUGAUCCUUUGGAUGGCGUAUCGGUUCUGAAGAUCGCAUGUGGCCAAUGGCACACGGCUAUCAUAUCCUCCUCUGGUCAACUGUUCACAUAUGGCGACGGAACAUUUGGCGUUCUUGGACAUGGCGACACGAUGAGCGUGGCUCGGCCCAAAGAAGUAGAGUCUCUGAAAGGGUUGAGAGCCAAGGCUGUGGCAUGUGGGCCAUGGCACACAGCUGCCAUUGUGGAAAUAUUAGGCACUGUCAAGAGCAAUGCUCCUAGUGGGAAGCUGUUCACUUGGGGUGAUGCAGAUAAAGGAAAGCUGGGUCAUGCUGACAAAAAAUCCAAGCUUGUACCGACUUGUGUCAAGCCACUCAAUGAUUCUGAUUUUGCUCAGGUAUCCUGUGCGAAGGCACUGACAGUCGUGCUUACAAUAACAGGUGUUGUUUUCACCAUUGGAAGCACGGAACACGGACAAUUAGGCAACCGCCGAUUGAGUGACACAUCUAUUUGUUCAGUUGAAGGGCCUCUCAAGACUGAGUUUGUCAGAGAUAUAUCGUCAGGCUCUUCCCAUGUCGCAGUUUUGACAAUGAAUGGAAAGGUGUAUACCUGGGGCAAAGGCACAGAAGGUCAACUUGGUUUAGGUGACUAUACUGACAGGAGCUCCCCAACUCUAGUGGAGUCCUUGGAAGAUAAGCAAGUGGACAGUAUAGCUUGCGGUUCCAAUUUCACUCUUGCGGUUUGUUUACACAGGUCUAUCUCAGGCAAGGAUCAACCUGUAUGCAGCAGUUGUCAGUUGUCUUUUACCUUUACAAGGAAGAAGCACAACUGCUACAACUGUGGUUCCAUGUUCUGCAAUUCCUGCAGCAGUAACAAGGUUUCAAGGGCAGCUCUUGGACCAGAUAGGAGCAAAAGGUACCGUGUUUGUGAUAUGUGUUUCACUCAACUGCAGAAGAUUGAAGGACAUGGCACACUAAGUUCACGAUCAGCGAUCCAGAAGGAGGAGGCAUUUCCAACAGAAAUAAGACCAUAUACACCAAAGUUGUCACGCAUAUUCAAGGAAGCAAAUUCUAUCAUGGAAAAAAUGACAACGUCACAGGGUUCGAAUCAGAGAAAUCAGGACUUGGCUGUGCCGGUUCAACUGAAAACACAGAGAUGGGGGCAAGUAGAGUGCCCCAGUCAAUUUAAAUGUGCACGAAACAACAUUCCAUGCUGUUCCAUACCAAAUAAACAGACAGUCGAAGUUUCUCUUCCACAGAGAAUGCCUGAACCAGUGCCCCCAAAAGGUACCGGCUCUAUGCCAGAAGCAGCUACUAAUUUGAAAGAAGAAUUAGAUUCGACAGAGAAUAUAUUACUAGGAGAAGUAAAACAGCUUCAAGCACAGGUGACCACCCUAGCAGAACAAUGCCGGCAUAGGAGCCUGAAGGUUCAGUUGUACAAACGAAAAGUCGAGGAAACCUGGCUGAUUAUCAUGAAUGAAGCAGCGAAGUGCAAAGCUGCAAAAGAAAUUAUAAAGGUUUUAACCAAUCAGAGGAAUACUUUAUCAAAGAAGAUUGAUUUAGCUGGUGAGCAAUCAUACAACUCCAUAACUAUACCAAGCCGCAUCAACGAUGGACAACCAGUAAAAGCAGAAUUACCAGACCCACCAGACAAGAACCCUGUCACCGGCAAAUUUCAACAGCUGAGCAGCAUCAGGGAUCACAAUCAGCAAGUGGACAGGGAACGUAUACAGUCUUCAAGCGCAGCUGUGGCGAAAGGCUCAGUCAUGCAUAGAAAUAGCAGAAGAGCACCCAGUAACAGCAAUACCUAUGCCGGGGAAAAUGAUGCCACCAUUCCUCCUGUUGAUCCCAAUGGCACAAUCGAGCAAAUCGAGCGCGGGGUGUAUGUGACCGUUGUCACAUCCCCUGGUGGAAACAAAGGCGUCAAGCGCAUCCGGUUCAGCCGGAAGCACUUUGGGGAGAAGGAAGCACAGAAAUGGUGGGAAGCGAACGAGAGCAAGGUGUUUGCAAAGUACAGCAGCACGGAACAGGUGACAGAGUAA
rnacentral:rRNA from 1 species